rnacentral:rRNA from 1 species
GAUGUAGGUGGCUAUGUAAGUCAGAUGUGAAAGCCUGGGGCUCAACCCCAGAAGUGCAUUUGAUACUGCGUAGCUUGAGUGUCGGAGAGGUUACUAGAAUUGUUGGUGUAGUGGUGAAAUACGUAGAUAUCAACAGGAAUACCGGAGGCGAAGGCGGGUAACUGGCCGAACACUGACACUGAGAUCCGAAAGCGUGGGGAUCAAACA